rnacentral:lncRNA from 1 species
UUUAAAAGAACCAAUUUAUAAGAAUAUAACUUACAAAUAUUAAUAUUUUUGCAAAUGUUGAUUAGUUUUGGUUGUUUUUAUUUUUUUUUAAAUUGGCAUUUCAAGGGGAGGUAACUCUAAAACAGUGCAUUUUCUGAAGGAUUCUACAUGAAAUUUUCCUAUUUUGUAUUUUAGCCGGAAAAAACGUACGGUGACCCUAUCUUUUCUUUUGAUAUUCUCAAA